rnacentral:misc_RNA from 1 species
UGGUUCUGGCAUCGAUGAAGAACGCAGCGAAAUGCGAUAAGUAAUGUGAAUUGCAGAAUUCAACGAAUCAUCGAAUCUUUGAACGCAUAUUGCGCCCAUUAGUAUUCUAGUGGGCAUGCCUGUUCGAGCGUCAUUUCAACCCUCAAGUUUUGUUUUAUAGCUUGGUACUGGGGCGAUCUGUUGUAUCAAUAUACUACAGGCCCUGAAAGACAUUGGCGAGCUCACUGUAAACCCGAGCGUAGUAGAUUUUUUUUAUUCGCUUAGGGGUAUACAGUUGGUAUUUUAGCCAUUAAACAACUCCAUUUUAUCAAGUUGACCUCGGAUCAGGUAGGAAUACCCGCUGA